rnacentral:rRNA from 1 species
GACGUAGGGCGCGAGCGUUGUCCGGAUUUAUUGGGCGUAAAGAGCUCGUAGGCGGCUUGUCGCGUCGACUGUGAAAACCCAUGGCUCAACCAUGUGGUCUGCAGUCGAUACGGGCAGGCUAGAAUUCGGUAGGGGAGACUGGAAUUCCUGGUGUAGCGGUGAAAUGCUUAGAUAUGACAUAGAACACCAAUUGCGAAGGCAGCUUACUACACAGUCAUUGACACUGAGGCACGAAAGCGUGGGGAUCAAACAGG